ACAGGCGUGAGCCACCAUGCCCAGCCAAAAUGUUUUAAGUCUUGAAGAAAAAAUAAUUUAAAAAUUUUGUACAUCAAAAGACACCAUCAAGAAAACAAAAGCCAACCUAUGAAAUGGGAGAAAGUAUUUUGUGAAUUGUGUAUCAGGUAAGAGUCUACUAUCCAAAAUAUAUAAACAACUUUUACAACUCAACAGAAAUACAAAUUACCCAAAUUAAAAAUGGGCAAAGUAUUCGAACACAUAUUUUUUAAAGAAGAUAUGCAAAUAAUCAAUAAGCACAAAAAAUAGGCUCAUUAGUCACAAGGGAAAUGAAAUGAAAACCACAAUCAGAUGCCACUUCAUAUCCACCAGCAUGGCUAUAGUGAAAAACACAGACAAUGACAGUAAGUGUUGGCGAGGAUGAGAAAAAUUAUCAACCAGGUUUGUUCUGCCCGUGCUGGGUAAACCAAUCACUGUGAUGGCACAUUUUGCAAAAGAGAAAAGAUUUAUCCACAAGGCAGCCCAGCAAGGGGGCAGGUAAAUAGCUCUCAUAUCUGCCUCCCGAAAAUAAGGCAUAGAGAUGUUUAUGGGUUAGAGAAGCAGGGUGGUCUAAGGCAUGGGGAAAGGUGAUUGGCAGUGGGGGAAAAUGAAUCAUCCACUGAUCUGCGCAAGUGUAGUCAGGAUUCAUGGCACUUCAUAGGAUGACUGUUCAGAAAAUGGUGACAUUAGCAUCAUUUGAGGGUGGAGUGUUUAGCCUGUGAUGUCAAAAGGCUACCUCUUGGGCAUUUGCUCAGGCCUGGUUGAAGGGUCAGUGGUCACAACCAGUUUGAACAGGAGAGGAGCUGCCCCAAGUUCCUGAAAACCAACUUAAGUGACCGUUACCAUGGUGACAUAUGUUAUCUAUAGAUUAUACAGGAAGCCAGCAAAGGUUAAAUGCUGUGGUCUUCAGCUACAUAGAAAAAAACAAAAUGCAAAUGACCAAAUUGCAGGGCAGGCUGUUUUGUGGAUCUAAUCAGAUUAACCCCCCAGUUUCAAAACUUUAUUGCUGAUGGGAUUAUAAUAUUGUACAGCCACCUGAGUAAACAGUUUGGCAGAUCCUCAAAAAGUUAAACAUAGGCCAAGUGCGGUGGCCCACGCUUGUAAUCCUAGCACUUUGGGAGGCCAAGGUGGGUGGAUUGCCUCAGCUCAGGAGUUCGAGACCAGCCUGGGCAACACAGUGAAACCCCCAUCUCUACUAAAAUACAAAAAAAAAAAAAAAAAUUAGCCAGGUGUGGCGGCGUGUGCCUGUAAUCCCAGGUACUUGGGAGGCUGAGGCAGGAGAACUGCUUGAACCUGGGAGAUGGAGGUUGCAGUGAGCCAAGAUGGCGCCACUACACUCCAGCUUGGGAGACAGAGUGAGACUCCGUCUCUUAAAAAAAAAGUUAAACAUAGAUAUACCAUACGAUCCAGCAAUUCUUUUCAUUUGAGACAGAGUUGUCCCACUGUGUUGGCCAGGCCGGUCUUGAACUGUUGACCUUGUGUUUCACCUGCCUAGGCCUCCCAAAGUGUAUAGCCAAGAUAGUUGGGAACAAAGGUCCACACAAAAACUUAAACAUGAAUGUUCACAGUAGCAUUAUUCAUAAUAGCCAAAAGGUGAAAACCAUCCAGAUGCCCAUCAACUGAUGAAUGAAUUUUUAAAAAUGUGAUAUAAAUGGCCAGGUGUGGUGACUUAUGCCUAUAAUCCCAGCACUUUGGGAGGCCAAGGCAGGCAGAUCACUUGAGACCAGGAGUUCGAGACCAGCCUGGCCAACAUGGUGAAACCCCAUCUCUACUAAAAAUACAAAAGAUUAGCCAGGCGUGGUGGCACGUACCUGUAACCCCACCUACUCAGGAGGCUGAGGCAGGGGAAUUGCUUGAACCCGGGAGGCAGAGGUUUCAGUGAGCCAAGAUUGUGCCACUGCACCCCAGCCUGAGCAACAUAGCAAGACUCUGUCUGAAGAAAAAAAAGCAAUAUAACUAUACAAUGGACUAUUCAGCCACAGAACAGAAUGAAGUACUGAUUCAUGCUAUACCACAGAUGAACCUUAGAAACAGUAUGCUAAAUGAAAGAAGUCAGACACAAAGGGCUACACAUUGUAUGAUUCCAGUCAUUUGGAAAGUCCAGAAUAGACAAAUCCCAUAGAGACAGAAACUAGAUUAGUGGUUGCCAGGGGCUGGGUAGGAGGGUGAGGAAUGAGCAAUGACUACUGAUUGGGUACGGGGUUUCUUUUUUGGGGUGAUGAGAAUGUUCGAUAAUUGAUUGUGGUGACGGUCGCACAAAUUUGUGAGUAUGGUGAGAACCAUUGAAUUGUACACAUUAUUUUUGAGAGACGGGGUCUCACUUUGUCACCUAGGCUGGAGUGUAAUGGCACAAUCAUAGCUCACUGUCACCUCGAACUCCUGUGCUCAAAUGAUCCAUCCUCCUGCCUUGGCCUCCCAAGCAGCUAGAACCACAGGUAUGCACCACCACACACAGCUAAUUUUUUAAAUUAUUUUCUUGUAGCAACGGGGUCUUGCCAUCUUGCCCAGGUUGGUCUCAAAUUCCUGGGCUCAAGCAAUCCUCCCGCUUUGGCUUCCCAAAGUGCUGGGAUUAUGCACAGCUGAAUUGUACACUUUAAAAGGGUGAAUUGUAUAUAUGAAUUAUAGCUCGUAUUUUUAAAAGUUUAAAAAUAUGUUGCUUGGGAAAGGACUCUGGGAAGAUGGCAGACAGAGUAGGAAGCACCAGAAAUCUGCCUCCCCACCCAGGCUGUCUGAGGUAACUAUUUUGGAAUUCUGGAGUCUAUUGAAGGUUUGCAACUUCCAGAGGAAAACUUGGAUGGCAAUUUGGACUUUUUCAAUUUUCGCUCUUAGCACAGUAGUAGCUACCCAUCCUGUGGGAGGCGAGUGUGCAUUUGUUCCUGUAGGAGCCUGCACAUAGCCUGUGGGAGCCAGGAUAGGCAAAAAAAGUAUCCUAUCCUCCAAAUAUGAGAUAUCUGUGCUGAUUACUGAACACUGCUUCUGAUCACAGGGGUAUAGACAAAGAAGCAGGGGCCAUUGUUGCAUCUCCCCCAAUUGUUGCAAGUCUCUCCCUCUCCAGGUGAAGUGACGUCCAGGGGACUGAAAGGUCUGGUACGUGUGUCUUUAUCCCAACCCUUCAUUUUUCUCUUUUUCUCCCUUUGGGGGGCAGACAUUAAAGACAAGGACAUUCAAAAGCAACUACAUAUAUGGGGAAAAUUAGAAAGUGGCCACCCACACCCAGAGAAAGGCACAGGCUCAAAAAGACCUGAGAAGACCUUAAGUUUAUACCUCAGUAUGGUCCUUGGCCCAGAGACAGCCUACAACAAUUAAAAAACAAAAACAAAAAACAAUAAACAAAUACAGUAACAAAAAAUAGCAAACCCUGGGGAAAGGGGAGAAUCCAAUUUCCAGAGUUACCACAUUAUCAAACCCAAAUGUAUAAUUUUCAAUGAAAAAAAUCACAAGGCAUACAAAGAAACAGGAAACUAUCCCCAAUCAAAAGCAAAAAUAAACAGAAACUGUCUCUAAAAAAAGACCUGGUGACAGAUCUAUUACACAAAAAAAUUUUAAAACCUGUCUUAAAGGCUGGGUGUGGUGGUUCAUGCCUAUAAUUCCAGCACUUUGGGAGGCCAAGGCAAGAGGAUCACUUGAGGCUGGGAGUUCAAGAGCAGCCUGGGUAACACAGUGAGACCCUGUCUCUUAGAGAAAAAAAAAAAAAAAAGAAGAAGAAGAAUUAAAAAAUAAGCCAGCCAGGUGCAGUGGCCUGUGUCUAUAGUCCUAACUAGCUACUUGGGAUGUUGAGGCAGAAGGCUCACUUUGAGCCCUGGAGUUUGAGGCUGCAGUGAGCUUGGAUUGUGCCACUGCACUCCAGCCUGGGUGACAGAGCGAGACCCUUGUCUCAAAACACAAAAACAAAAAACUGUCUUAAAGAUAUAAGGCCAGGUGUGGUGGUGGCUCAUGCCUGUAAUCCCAACACUUUGGGAAGCCAAGGUGGGCAGAUCACUUGAGCCCAGGAGUUUGAAACCAGCCUGGGCAACACAGUGAAACUCCAUCUCUACUAAAAAAUACAAAAAAUUAGCUGGAUGUGGUGGCACACACCUGUAGUCCCAGCUACUUGGAGUCUGACAUGGGAGAUCAACUGAGCCAGGUAAGUCGAGGCUGCAGUUAAGCUGUGAUUGCGCCACUGCACUCUAGCCUGUGCGACAGGAGUGAGGCCCUGUCUCAAAAAAAUAAAAUAAAAUAAAAGAGAUGAUCAAAAAACUAAAGGAAGAUAUGGAAAAAGCCAAGAAAAUGAUGUAUAAAGAAAAUGGAAAUAUCAAUAAAGAGAUAGAAAACCUAAAAAGAAACCAAACAAAUUCUGGAGCUGAAAAAUACAAUAACUGAAAUGCAAAAAUUCACUAGCAGGAUUCAAAGGCAGAUUUAAACAAGCAAAAAAAAGAGUAAGUCAAAUUGGAGACAGGACAAUGGAAACUGAGUCUGAAAAACAGAAAGAAAAAAGAUUGAGGAAAAGUGAACAGAGCCUAACGGACCUGUGAAACACCAUCAAGUGGACCAUCAUACACAUUGUGGGAAUUCUAAUGGGCAAGAAAUAGGAAGAGAAAAUAUUUGAAGAAAUAAUGGCUUAAAAGCUUCCCAAGUUCUAUGAGACAUGAAUAUAAACACCCAAGCAGCUCAAUGAACUCCAAGUAGAUGAACUUAAAGAGAGCCACAUUAAGACACAUUUUAAUCAAUCGAAGUUUCUUUUUUUUUUUUUUUUAAGAUGGAGUCUCGCUCUGUCACGCAGGCUGGAGUGCAGUGGCACGAUCUCGGCUCACUGCAAGCUCUGUCUCCCGGGUUCAUGCCAUUCUCCUGCCUCAGCCUCCCGAGUAGCUGGGACUACAGGCGCCCACCACCACGCCCAGCUAAUUUUUUGUAUUUUCAGUCGAGACAGGGUUUCACAGUGUUAGCCAGGAUGGUCUUGAUCUCCUGACCUCGUGAUCCGCCUGCCUCAGCCUCCCAAAGUGCUGGGAUUACAGACGUGAGCCACCGUGCCCAGCCUUUAAUCAAACUUUCUAAAUCCAAAGAGAGAAUCCUGAAAUCAGCAAGAGAGAAGUGAUUUGCCACAUACAAGAUAUUUUUAAUAAGAUUAUCAGCAGAUUUCUCAUCAGAAAGAAUUGGAUGAUAUAGUUAAAGUGCUAAAAAAAAAAUUGUCGACCCAAGAAUCCUAUAUCUGGCAAAACUGUCCUUAAAAAGUGAGGAAGAAAUUUAGACAUUCCUAGAUAAAAGCUGGGAAAGUUCAUUACCACUAGACCUGCCCUACAAGAAAUGCUCAAAGAAGUCCUAGUCCUGCAGGAUGAAAUGAAAGGAGACUAGACAGUAACUUGAAGCCACAUGAAGAAAUAAAGAUCUCAAUAAAGGGUAAAUACAUGGGCAAUUAUAAAAGCUAAUGUUAUUGUAAUAAUAGUCUGUGACGAUACUUUUGGUUUUCUACAUGAUUUGAGAUGAACACAUUAAAAAAAACUAAACACUAGCAUAACUGUAAUUUUGGUUUGUAACUCCAAAUUUUGUAUUCUACGUAAUUUAAGAAACUAAUGUAUUUAAAAGAAUUAGUUUAUGUUUUGGGUCACACAAUGUAAAAAGAUGUAAUUUUGUGACAUCAACCAAAAGGGGUGAGGACACAGCUGUUAGAAGAGUUUGUAUAUGUCACUGAAGCUGGCAUAAAUUUAGUGUUAUAACUUUAGGAUGUUAAAUGUUAUCCCCAUGGUAACCACAGAGAAAAUAGCUAUAGAAUAUACACAAAACAAAGGGAAAUGAAUUUAAAUGUUUCACUACAAAACAACUAAACACAAAAGACAGUAAUGCAGGAAAUGAGGGACAAAAAAGCAGUAAGCCAUAUGGAGAACAAAUAGCAAUACAACAGAAGUUCUUAUCAGUAAUUACUUUAAAUGUAAAUAGAUUACAUUUUCUUUUUUUUAAUUUUUAUUUUUGAGAUGGAGUCUCGCUCUGUAGCCCAGGCUGGAUUGUAGUGGCAUGAUCUCAGCUCCCUACAACCUCCACCUCCUGGGUUC
rnacentral:lncRNA from 10 species